AUCCUAUGAUUCAGUUCAUCUUAGAGUUCAUCUUCCUCAUCAUAUGAGGCGGCAGCGUAGCCUAGUGGUUAGAGCGUUGGACUAGUAACCAGCAGGUAGCCUAGUGGUUAGAGUGUUGGACUAGUAACCAGCAGGUAGCCUAGUGGUUAGAGCGUUGGACUAGUAACCAGCAGGUAGCCUAGUGGUUAGAGCGUUGGACUAGUAACCAGCAGGUAGCCUAGUGGUUAGUGUUGGACUAGUAACCAGCAGGUAGCCUAGUGGUUAGAGCGUUGGACUAGUAACCAGCAGGUAGCCUAGUGGUUAGAGCGUUGGACUAGUAACCAGCAGGUAGCUUAGUGGUUAGUGUUGGACUAGUAACCAGCAGGUAGCCUAGUGGUUAGAGCGUUGGACUAGUAACCAGCAGGUAGCUUAGUGGUUAGUGUUGGACUAGUAACCAGCAGGUAGCCUAGUGGUUAGAGCGUUGGACUAGUAACCAGCAGGUAGCUUAGUGGUUAGUGUUGGACUAGUAACCAGCAGGUAGCCUAGUGGUUAGAGCGUUGGACUAGUAACCAGCAGGUAGCCUAGUGGUUAGAGCGUUGGACUAGUAACCAGCAGGUAGCUUAGUGGUUAGUGUUGGACUAGUAACCAGCAGGUAGCCUAGUGGUUAGAGUGUUGGACUAGUAACCAGCAGGUAGCCUAGUGGUUAGAGUGUUGGACUAGUAACCAGCAGGUAGCCUAGUGGUUAGACAGUUGGACUAGUAACCAGCAGGUAGCCUAGUGGUUAGAGUGUUGGACUAGUAACCAGCAGGUAGCCUAGUGGUUAGAGCGUUGGACUAGUAACCAGCAGGUAGCCUAGUGGUUAGAGUGUUGGACUAGUAACCAGCAGGUAGCCUAGUGGUUAGAGUGUUGGACUAGUAACCAGCAGGUAGCCUAGUGGUUAGAGUGUUGGACUAGUAACCAGCAGGUAGCCUAGUGGUUAGAGUGUUGGACUAGUAACCAGCAGGUAGCCUAGUGGUUAGAGUGUUGGACUAGUAACCAGCAGGUAGCCUAGUGGUUAGAGUGUUGGACUAGUAACCAGCAGGUAGCCUUGUGGUUAGAGCGUUGGACUAGUAACCGUAAAGGUUGCAUGAUCGAAUCCCCGAGCUGACAAGGUCAAAAUCUGUUGUUCUGCCCCCUGAACAAGGCAGUUAAUCCACUGUUCCCCGGGUGGGCCGCCAUUGAAAAUAAGAAUUUGUUCUUAACUGACUUGUUCAGUGUGUAUUGAUUGCAUCACUACUUUUGGUAAAUGUAAACAUAUGGUUUGGGUUCAAAUAUGGUGAUUAGGUUAGUUGUUGGCCAGGCUUUGGAGCGAUGGUCCACCCUUCAUACAGGAAAAAAUCUGAACCCAUCCACCUCACCACUCCCCUAAAAAAAUGGUUUCACUGCAUCUCAAUGACUCAACCAAUCACUCACAGUCACACAUAAAGCAACCCUGUCAAAUCAACUGCAGGCGCACAUAUGCAGCGAGACAGAUGGAGCCAUCAAACCAGCCUACCAGCACUCUGACCUCUAUCAACACAGAGGGAGGACACUAACCUAACACCACAGCCACCAACAUCACUAGCAACGACAUCCCUACAGAGAGAGAGAGAGGACAGAGAGAGGCCCACAAAAUGAGGUGGAAACUGAGCUGCACUUCCUAACCUCCUGCCCAAUGUAUGACCAUAUUAGAGAGACAUAUUUCCCUCAGAUUACACAGAUCCACAAAGAAUUCGAAAACAAAUCCAAUUUUGAUAAACUCCCAUAUCAACUGGGUGAAAUUCCACAGUGUGCCAUCAAAGCAGCAAGAUUUGUGACCUGUUGCCACGAGAAAAGGGCAACCAGUGAAGAACAAACACCAUUGUAAAUACAACCCAUAUCUAUGCUUAUUUAUUUUAUCUUGUGUCCUUUACCAUUUGUACAUUGUUAAAACACUGUAUAUAUUUAUAAUAUGACAUUUGUAAUGUCUUUAUUGUUUUGAAACUUCUGUAUGUGUGAUGUCUACUGUUAAUUUUUAUUGUUUAUUUCACUUUAUAUAUUAUCUACCUCACUUGCUUUGGCAAUGUUAACACAUGUUUCCCAUGCCAAUAAAGCCCUUGAAUUGAAUUGAAUUGAGAGGACAGAGACAGAGAGAGGACAAAGAGAGAGGACAGAGAGAGAGAGAGGACAGAGAGAAGACAGAGACACAGAGUGAGACAGAGUGAGAGAGAGGGGACAGAGAGAGAGAGAGUACAGACAGAGACAGAGACACAGAGUGAGAGAGAGACAAAGACACAGAGACAGAGAGUGAGAGAGAGGACAGAGAGAGAGAGAGGACAGAGAGAGAGGGGACAGAGAGAGAGACAGAGAGAAGCACUCACCAAAAGCACUCACAAACCUCUACAGAUGCACAAUCGAGAGCAUCCUGGCGGGCUGUAUCACCGCCUGGUACGGCAACUGCUCCGCCCUCAACCGUAAGGCUCUCCAGAGGGUAGUGAGGACUGCACAACGCAUCACCGGGGGCAAACUACCUGCCCUCCAGGACACCUACACCACCCGAUGUUACAGGAAGGCCAUAAAGAUCAUCAAGGACAUCAACCACCCGAACCACUGCCUGUUCACCCCGCUAUCAUCCAGAAGGCGAGGUCAGUACAGGUGCAUCAAAGCUGGGACCGAGAGACUGAAAAACAGCUUCUAUCUCAAGGCCAUCAGACUGUUAAACAGCCACCACUAACAUUGAGUGGCUGCUGCCAACACACUGUCAUUGACACUGACCCAACUCCAGCCACUUUAAUAAUGGGAAUUGAUGGGAAAUGAUGUAAAUAUAUCACUAGCCACUUUAAACAAUGCUACCUUAUAUAAUGUUACUUACCCUACAUUAUUCAUCUCAUAUGCAUACGUAUAUACUGUACUCUACAUCAUCGACUGCAUCCUUAUGUAAUACAUGUAUCACUAGCCACUUUAACUAUGCCACUUUGUUUACUUUGUCUACACACUCAUCUCAUAUGUAUAUACUGUACUCGAUACCAUCUACUGUAUGCUGCUCUGUACCAUCACUCAUUCAUAUAUCCUUAUGUACAUAUUCCUUAUCCCCUUACACUGUGUAUAAGACAGUAGUUUUGGAAUUGUUAGUUAGAUUACUUGUUGGUUAUCACUGCAUUGUCGGAACUAGAAGCACAAGCAUUUCGCUACACUCGCAUUAACAUCUGCUAACCAUGUGUAUGUGACAAAUAAAUUUUGAUUUGAUUUGA